GGAAUAUAAGAACAUGUCUCUUAACUUUUAACUAAGAAAGUUAAGAACCGGCUCUUAAAACUCUUAUUUAAGAACCGACUCUUAAAACUCUUAUUUAAGAACUGUUAUUAACUUUUUUUAGUUAAAAGUUAAGAGACGGGUUCUUAUAUUCC
rfam:Brassica oleracea var. oleracea cultivar TO1000 chromosome C8, whole genome shotgun sequence